UGUCGGUUCUCAUGGUGGAAUUGGCUACUGACUGGUAGAGAUGGCCAACGGGCCGUGUUGGGCCUGCAUGGCCCAAUUGCCCGCGAGCCAAAAAAUUAACAGCUCGUGCCUGACACGGAUUGUUUAUUAAAUGGGCCGUACCUGAUAUGACCGAUUUAGCUAAACUCUCAGGCCGACGUGACCCACAGCAUAGCAUAUUAGGGCGAUGCCAGGCAUGGCCCGUUGGCUCGUGGAUGGUGCUGUGUC
rnacentral:lncRNA from 1 species